CAGCUCUUGGUCAAUGGCACACCGGUGCUAAUGCAGGCUCCUGACCCCUGGUCUCCCUCCGCUGGCAGGCUCUGAGCAAGGCCUGCCCAGAGAACAUGGAUGACGAGGUCUCGAUCCUGCUGACAGCACCCCCCAGCACAGACAAACUCCAGCACAUCUUGGAGGGUGGGAAACCAAGACACAGUUGGGACCUGUCUACACUACAGGUCUGUCGUGUGUUUGUAAUCUGCUGACCCCCACAUGUUGUUCAGAGCCUAUGGACAACACAGCUCCUAAAGGAGCUCAUUGAGGAGCUGCCUGAUAACUCUCCACCCGGCGCCGUCCUCGCCAACU